UUUGAGGUGUUAUCAGAAAGU
ensembl:piRNA 21ur-1286 ncRNA